rnacentral:rRNA from 1 species
CGUAGGAGGCAAGCGUUAUCCGGAGUUACUGGGCGUAAAGCGCGUGUAGGUGGGUUGGUAAGUUACUUAUAAAAGCCCCUGGCUAAACUGGGGGAGGUUGAGUGAUACUGCCAGUCUUGAAUAGAGGAGAGGUCGACGGAAUUCCGCGUGUAGUGGUGAAAUGCGUAGAGAUGCAGAAGAACACCAGUGGCGAAGGCGGUCAACUGGCCUCAUAUUGACACUCAGACGCGAAGGCAUGGGUAGCGAACGGGAUUAGAAACCCCGGUAGUCCAUGCAAUAAACGAUGCACACUGAAUGUUCGUUGUCCUACGGGGCAAUGAGUGUUGAAGCUAACGCGUUAAGUGUGCCGCCUGGGGAGUACGGUCGCAAGGCUA